rnacentral:rRNA from 1 species
AUUGAACGCUGGCGGCAGGCCUAACACAUGCAAGUCGAACGGUAACAGGAAGAAGCUUGCUUCUUUGCUGACGAGUGGCGGACGGGUGAGUAAUGUCUGGGAAACUGCCUGAUGGAGGGGGAUAACUACUGGAAACGGUAGCUAAUACCGCAUAACGUCGCAGGACCAAAGAGGGGGACCUUCGGGCCUCUUGCCAUCGGAUGUGCCCAGAUGGGAUUAGCUAGUAGGGGGGGUAACGGCUCACCUAGGCGACGAUCCCUAGCUGGUCUGAGAGGAUGACCAGCCACACUGGAACUGAGACACGGUCCAGACUCCUACGGGAGGCAGCAGUGGGGAAUAUUGCACAAUGGGCGCAAGCCUGAUGCAGCCAUGCCGCGUGUAUGAAGAAGGCCUUCGGGUUGUAAAGUACUUUCAGCGGGGAGGAAGGGAGUAAAGUUAAUACCUUUGCUCAUUGACGUUACCCGCAGAAGAAGCACCGGCUAACUCCGUG